rnacentral:tRNA from 1 species
GGAUUGUGGCUCAGUGGUACAGCGCUUGCCUAGCUCGUGCGAGGUGCUGGGUUCAAUCCUCAGCACCA